rnacentral:lncRNA from 1 species
UAAUAAAGGAAGUUGUUUGUUGUACAAACGUAGUCUCUGUAUUUGUGUCAUUUAAGUCUCAUUACCCAUCUUUAUCCGUGCCAUACACCCUCCCACCGCAGGUAGGCUUUAAGCCUGUGUCGUUACCUAUCGUCCCGGGGCCGUACAGAAUGUCUUAUAUCUAUUUGUUGGGUCAGAUGAUAUCCAAUCUAUUAAAAGAACAUUUCUGCAUUACUGUGUGAUUCAUUAUCAUUUAAUGUAAAGUCGAUAAAAAAAAUCAUACCUUUUGAAUAAUAGAUCUUUUUCCCAUUUUAACGUUUGCAUUUUUGAAGUAUAUAAUUUGGUUUUUCUAUAUUUUUAACACACGCGUUCCUUCCUGUCGGUGCCAUAGCGUGUUGUUUGUGAUAAAAUAUGGUUGGUUCUAGUGAUCUCUGGCGUAUAAUUGUCGUAGAAGAAUUUUCAGAAACUACGUCACUUUUAUAUACUGUCUCCAACCAACUAUGCAGCUUAAAACCAAUUUUUAAGCCGAUGGAACGCGGAUGGAAAUAUGGUUACUAGGGCGCUUAGCCGCUUAUUUACAUAACACGUCCAGAAAUAUGUAUAUGCAGAUCCCAGUCUCGAAUUCAGCAAAUCAAGUGAUUUUUUUUUUUACUGAAAUGAAUUUAACCGCUGUUUUGACCAAAAAAUUUUUUAUAAUUUUUUUUCUGGUUAAAAAUAUGGUUAUAAUUUGUUUCUGGUCAUAAAUAACCGGAAACCAGUCAAUUUGGCAACUCUGUCUUGCGCUUACUUCAGUGAAUCCAACCUAAGUGUCACUCAGGUUGGAUUCACACAGCUUGCGAUUGCGACUACGACCGCGACUGACGGCUUGCUACACAACAUGCACAUUGAUCACGACCGGCUUCACAAUUUUUCGAAUCAACCAAUAGUGACUGCGUGAACAGUCAAUAAGAGCUGAUGUAAUAUACAGCUCGUAAAAGAUGGCGAAUCAUUGUUUUUCUUUGGUGGCUACUCUAGCUAUUUUGUC